UUAAAAUGAUGACAUAUUGCAAUCUGUUACAUGCACUUUUGGGGAAUGGUAUAAAUAUGUUCUGUAAGAAAAUAAAGGGAGAGAAGAUUGGAACUUCCAAGUUCUCUACAUACAGCUGUAUGAAACAAAAUAAAGGUGUCUGACUCAUCUUAACUAAACGCAACGGGAAGCUUGUUUGGUGCUGUGACUUCGAUAGUCACAUUCCCUGGAGAAGCUGACUAGGCUGUCCACCACUGACUUCCUGGCACCAUAAAAAAAAAAGGUAAAAUACUUUAUUAAAAAUCUCUGGUGAGGAUUGUCAGUGGGGGAUUGCCUAGCCAUCUCUUGUUGCGGCAGCACUAUCCAAUCUUUUUGCUGCCAGAUCUGUUAGAACACCAACUGGAGAAUUGAGGUCGAGGCCGCAACUUGCCUGAGGCCACCAAGCAAGUCCAUGGUCAAGAAACCCAAGGCGGCUUACAUAUGGUUCCCAGGAGGUCUCCCAUCCAGGCACUGACCAGACCUGACCCUGCUUAGUUUCAGCAGGGUGCUCAAAAGCCAAUUUGUGGAGAGUGAGAAAUCUGUAAUUGCAGAAGAAGAGACAGUGAAUCCUGAUGAUAGCAUGCCACCUACAUCAUCAAGUAGUCAGCACUGCCCUGCUGUUGUAACCAGCCUACUUACACUGUGGCAACACCCUGUGUUCUUGCACUGAGAUCCCAAGACUUGCUUGCCAUGAACGGGACAGGUUUCAGGUUCUCAAAGAAGACAAGUGUGCUGCUCCAUUUUUUUCCUGUUGAUGAAGGGAGAAAAAUUAAUAUCAAGUAUUCCCCUGGAAACAAGAGGGGAGAAAUGAUGACAUGAGACCCCCAAGUGAAAGGCAUCAUCCUGGUAUUUGCCUCAAAAGCACCCUCUCCUUGCUUGGACUCAUGGGUUGAGCACAGAGAGCGAGCAAAUCACUUUCAAAAUUGCCCACUACAGCCAUCCAGCUUUUGCAUACCUAGCUGCCUGAUGCCAAGAUUGCCAUUGGAUUAAAAACACGUGUAAGGUCAUCAACUGAAAGACAGUGAAUAAUUGAAAGCAUCUCCAGACCAGCCAAACAAAAGCAAGCCUAACAAGACAGCCUUACUACACACCUGAAAAGUGCUCAGACUCAACUUUUGGUGAGUCUUCAGCAAAAGAGAAGUUCAUUCACAGGGAAUGCCACACUACAUAAGUGCUAUACAAGCCAGCAAAAGGCACAAACACUUGUAAUGCCUCAAUUACAUCAGUCUGUCUAGGAUUUGUAUAUUUAUUUAAAUAUUUUUAUGCCCAUUUUUAUUUCCAACUUCCCCAAACCCAACUUGUUUCACACAGCCAUAAAAUCACAAUAAAAACACAAUAAAAAUCUAUGAAAUAACAUUUUAUCAGUCACAGUAACCAAGGGAUACCUGACACUGCCAGUAGGAUCAGGGAGGGUGGCAAGAGGAGCUUUGAUGACAGUCGUCCCAUCCAUUCCAGGUACUGAAUCUUGGAAGCCCACUCUGCACUGGGUCCACUGGCCAUAUACUUUUAUUUAUUUAUUUUUUAUUUAUACACCACCCUUCCUCCCAGCAGGAGCCCAAGGUGGCAAACAAAAGCACUAAAAACACUUUAAAACAUCAUCAAAACAACUUUAAAAACAUUAUUUAAAAAAGCUUUGAAGAAUCUUUAAAAAAAAGUUAAAAAACAUUGUGUGUUUUUUAAAAAAGGUUUAAAAUCAUACUAAAAAGCAAUUUCAGCACAGAAGCAGACUGGGAUAAGGUCUCAACUUAAAAGGCUUGUUGAAAGAGGAAAGUUUUUAACAGGCGCCGAAAAGAUAACAGAGAUGUCACCUGUCUAAUAUUUAAGGGGAGGGAAUUCCACAGGGUAGGUGCUGCCACACUAAAGGUCCAUUUCCUAUGUUGUGCAGAACAGACCUCCUGAUAAGAUGGUAUCUGCAGGAGGCCCUCACCUGCAGAGCGCAGUGAUCGACUGGGUAUAUCCAAGCUGUAUAGGGCUUGGUAUGCCAAAACUAGAACCUUGAACUUGGCACAGUAGCAAAUGGGCAGCCAGUGCAAUUCUUUCAGCAUUGGGGUGACAUGUUAGCGAUACCCUGCCCCGGUGAGCAGUCUGGCAGCCACAUUUUGCACCAGCUGUAGCUUCCGGACCAACCUCAAGGGCAGCCCCACAUGGAGCACAUUACAGUACUUCCUAGGUUAAGGAUGAUAUUCCCCACUAGUCCUAUUUAGAGUAGACCCAAAGAAAUUAAUAGACAUGACUAAGUUAGGUUCCUGAAUUUCAAUGGGUCUGCCCUAAGAACUUGGUACAUAGACAGAGCAACACACCUCAUUGAAGGUUGGCGGGAACAGAGCCGGCGGAGGUGGAGCUGGCAGAGGUGGAGCUGGCAGAGGUGGAGCUAGCGGAAAGACUGCCACAUCCAGAAUGCUGUCAGGAGCCUCUGGGAGGGGAGGAUGUUGGCUGAGCCAGCAAGGCAUGGCAGAAGGAAACAAAAUACAUGUUUUCUUCCACCAUCCCGUUUCCUGGUGUAGCGGCCACAGGAGGGAGCCAGACGAGACCAAGAUGUAGCGUAAGUCUACCCCCUCAGCCCCUCCCUCUGAAUGCCUCAUUUUUGGGCCUUCUGCCAGCUUCUGUCGGCUUCCCUUACACUGGGCUGGACUUCUUCAGAGGAUCUCUGGCUGAGCCACAACUGAGCCAGGAUGAGGAACUGCCAGUUUAGCCCAGCUGAACCGGGACCCAUCUGACUCAGCUGAAGGUCCACCAUAUCUGACUCCUCUCAUCCCGGCAUAAAUAGCAGUUGGAUUGCACCCUUCGGCAUGAAUAUGUUCUCUGAUACUCUACACCAAAUAGAACAUGGCACAAAAAAUAGUUUUUUUAAGAUUCUCUAUUUUAAUUUUUUUAAUUAAAAAAACACCCUCAAACUAACUGAACUCUCAUGUUGAUAUAGAUCCAUGGGAAAGUAUGCAUGCUGUGUCCAUUAGUUUGUACUGAAAUCCUCUUGAACAUAUUAAUUUUAAAAUG